UCUCAUGUUUAUCUAUUGACCUGUUGACAUUGAAUACAUAAAUUCAUACUACAUUGAAUGAGUAUGGCAUCGACAAAGGCGAAACUGACAUUACUUGCAUCCAUUGUAUUCACAAUUUCAACGAUCGCUUAUAUACAUAUCACUCAAAUGAUGGAACGGGAUAAUGUAAAAGGCGGAGUUCGUAAGUACAUAGCUGAAAAGGAAGAGAAGGAAAAACGUCGUCAAGCCAACAUGGAUCUUCUCCAUGACAACCAGAAACUGGAGCAGGCCUUGAAGGAGCAGACAGAAAAACAGAGUUGAUGUCUCAUUGCAGGUGUUGAAAUGCUCAAGAUGAACUGUGAUAUUGCUGCAACUUGGACUUUCUCUUUGUGUUCAUACAUAGCUGAAAGUGACUGGGUGGGAACAGGAUUAAGGAUUAAAUAGCUAUAUGUAUGGAAUCAAGAAGGAAAGUACUUGUGCGUCAUGUAUCCCUUGAACUGUGAAAAUAAUGAUUGGAACUGUAAUGCUUUACAAAAUGAACAUGUUUGAAAGGCUAUAAUUAUAUUCUUCCAGAAGGAAAUGUAAAGAAGAAAUGAUGUGUGUACAUUUAGAAUAUUACCAAGGUGUUUUGAGGACUCAUUCUCAUUUUGACAAGUACUUACAUGUAUGUCUUAUGUAAUUUAAAUUUACUCCUUUUCACAUUUACAGUAAAUUUUCUUAUACCUAUUAAAACUUACUUGUUUAUUGUUCACUUGUUAUGCAGAUUAUAAUCAAUAAAUAAAUACACAAAUAUGUACAUAAUGUCCUCAGUAUUAUACAGUUGAAGACUUCCAUGUGCAUAAUGAACCAAUUUGUUGUUGGUGUUGAAAGGAUAUUGUCGUCAUAUGAAUUCAUUAUCAUUGUUAAAAUCAUGAUAAAUAACUAAAAAAAUAAACAAUGUCUGUAUUA